UUAAUAGGGCUGCGUAGCAGGUUACUUUGAUAUAGUAAAUAGUGAAUUGUUAUUCCGUUAAU
rnacentral:tRNA from 1 species